rnacentral:piRNA from 1 species
UGAGCUUGGUGAGGAUGAAGUG